ensembl:lncRNA
GUUGGAUCCAGCUAAUAAUAAAGAAAGACAAAACAAAUGAUACAUCAAUUAGAUAGAUUAUUUACUUCAUGGUGGGAACUUGAACCUAGUGAUAUAAUUAUUAAUUAUUGUUCAGGGGUAAAUGUAAAUUUCUUCUAACUUUCAUUGAUCUUCUGACCCAAAGUGAUUCAUUAAUCAAAAUGUAUUAUAAUAAUAUUAUCAUUACAUUAUAUAUAUCUUAUUAGAUAGAUAGAUAGAUAGAUAGAUAGAUAGAUAGAUAGAUAGAUAGAUAGAUAGAUAGAUAGAUAGAUAGAUAGAUAGAUAGAUAGAUAGAUAGAUCCUUUAAUAUUUCUUUACAGGAAAUUACAGUGUCACAACAGCGUGGACAGACAUAACAAACACACAUUCCCUCAUAUGCUAAACUACUUAAAUACUACAAUAAAUACAAUAAUAAAUACUAUAAGGUGCAAAGUUAAUUUUGUGCAUUGUAAAACCGUAUGGCAGCUGGUAUACAGGACUUCCUGUACUGCUCCGUUUUGCAUAUUGGUGCAAUGAGUCUCCGACUGAAGGUGCUGUUCUUGAUCACCUCCAGGGCGUGGACUGGUGACGUGGGGGGUAUUUAACCACCUCGACCUGCAGACAGUGUCUUACAGUAGUAGAGCCUCGUCGACCUGCACACAGUGUCUUACAGUACUAAAGCCUCGGGAAGCAAAGGUGAACAACAUGAAGACAUUUGCGCUGGUUUUCGUUUUCCUGAUCUUGGCUGCAGUUUGCACAGAUGCCAAUCCCAUCAUGAAGGAGAGCGUUGCUAAGCAGCUCUUCCGCAGCAAGAGGAUGGAUAAUACCUACGAGUGGAUGGAUUUGGUCCUGAGGGAAUGGGAGCCCACCGGUCCGGUGAUGGUCUAGCGCCGAGCUGGUGGUCAGUCACCUGUACGCCGGAACGCCACUAACCCGGCCUAUAUCAAGUGAUUCACUAUAGAGUGAUAUCAUCUAAACAUUAAACGCAUAGGCCUUGACCUUCAUAUUCUAGGUGUGUGAUCUCUUAAACUGUCUAUUUGACUCAUGCAUCACAUUGGAAAUUGUGUAUGAAUUUAAUUAAAAAAUAAAUGCAAACAUGACUAUAUCGUCGGUUUGACAGUCAAUGGUAUUCAAUUGGCUCAAUUAAUUUAAUUUAUCCAGGUUAUCAACAGAGACCAGGUUAGUAUAUCUGUCCGCCUGAUUUUCUUCUCAAAGCGAUUUGAAGCGGUUAUGCGAAGCGCAGAUGGUUUAUUUAAAUCUAUUUUCUACCCUUAGGUCAACUCCCUUCGUCUAUUUAUUCUUUCCAGAACAAACCGGUUUCAUUUAGUUUAAGGGAAAUACAUUUUGUUUUGUUGUUUUUAUUCACUGAACUGUCUCACAAAAGGGAGGGAGGGACAGAGAGAGGGAGGGAGGGAGGGUCAGAGAGAUACAGAGAAAGGGAGGCAGAAAUAGAGAGAGACAGGGACAGAGAGACAGAGAGACCGGGAGACACAGACAGACAGACAAGUAGAGUGGGUGAGACACAGCUUUAUGCACGAUAUUUCACAUAUAAAACUCCCUUAACUAAUACUAGCCUACGGAUUCUACUACCGAUUUCUGAGUGGGCUACGGGGAAGGGGGGGCGUACAUCUACAUCACCAUGGUUACCACAAGGUAUGUGGAUCACUCACACCAAGCCUGCUCCAGAUGCAGGACAGGAUCUCGGUUAAUAGGCUAGAACGGAACAAAGUCCCGCCCACUUUGCCUAAAGGACCACGGGACCAAUCAGGGUCUCUCGCUUCAUACACCACACACAAACACGCACGCACGCCAAUCAAUGGGAUGAAAGGUAGAACUCGGUCGCUCAAAGCAACGCAAAAACCCCCCAGGAUACCAGAGGGCGACAGUUAAAGACAACCAACAACCUUGUAAUAUUAGUGCAUAAAGCGCUCUCUCCCUCUCUCUCCCUCUCUCCCUCUCUCCCUCUCCCUCUCUCCCUCUCUCCCUCUCUCUCUCUCUCUCUCUCUCUCUCUCUCUCUCUCUCUCUCUUGAAAUUCAUUUUGGGAAAAAGUUACAGACCUCAUAUAUUACAAAUAGAAUUGGUAAUUUUCAUAAAAAAGCAAAAGUAUUUCAAAAUAGAGAUUGAGCUUCCAUCAUUGGUCUUACUUACGUGUCAGUGUCCCACCAUGCUGUUUGUAGCCCUGGCUUGCGUUUCCCAUUCUCUAUUCAGCCCUCAGCUCCACCAACAAGGACCUGCCAGGACAGCAGGUAGGUACUGGGGCCAUCACAACCAUUACAAAUAAAUAUAUACUUUUACACUAUUCAGUAUGCUGGCCUUUUUGUUUUUGAACUAAGUGACUGUUCGCCUUGUAUCACAUAUGUAUAUUUAAUUAAUAAAGUACAUUAAUGUAGUUUUUAAUCUUUUAUUGUUGACAUCAAAACAUUGCAAUGAUGAAAGUAUAGUUUUAAAAGUUGUUCAACUCUAAACUAAGCUCCCGUAAACCUCAGAAUAAAAUGAUACUACUGCAAACAGCUGUAAGAGCUACUAUAAGAACCCAAUAUCAUUUUACCAUGGAGUACACCUCCCGUAGGCCUAGGCAGUGUCCUGGAGGAGAAAUCAAAGAUAAUAGCUGUGAAACAAAAGAUUCAGAAUGGCCUGUCUUGGUUUAAAGCCCACUCACCACGACAAGGUGCAGGCCAGGAGUGGGAACAUAUAAGACGGGAAAAACAUAAAUAGACUGAAAAGGGAAGACAUGAGGCGUUUUACCUCUAAUUUUUCCGCCAUGCUCAGGGUCUCAAAUUUGUGCUCCAAUAGAUGAUCUACCUCAUUCAUGUUGUCGACUCGUUUUCGUUUGUGUGCCUCCGACGCGUUUGUUAGCAAAGUUAUCCAUCUCCUUCUCUUCUUCGCUACAGGACUUCUCGAGUUGCGCGCGGCACGUGAGGUGAGGUGGGAGGUCACUCGAGUCAUGACUCAUCACAACGUCACACACUACAGCCAAUGAACGGUGAAAUAUGAAAUUACAACGUUGUGGAACGAACCAUAUAUGUCCAUGGCGGUCCCGGUGGUGCCAGCCCCACCAGAAGUAAUAACCUGCGUCGAUUUCAACAGAGGAACACUCUGAGCAUACGCAUUUCAAUUUUUCAAGUCCAAUACACAUUACAUUGGGCUGAUGAGGCUCGAGCCACUCUUGCCCUUCCAGACGAAAUCCGUCUGAAGAAGCAAGCUAGGGUCGACUAAAAAUGAACUAAAAGCGCCGAAUUUAUUAUUUGACAGUACUUUCUGGGGAGAUUUUUAUAUAUAUGUAUAUAAUUCAUUUUAUAUAUUUCCUUUUUUUCUUUUUUUCUUGUGAGAGUAGGUGGGGCCGAGCCCCACUUGCCCCUACUGACCAGUUGCCACUAUUAGUAUGUAAUUAUUUUUUUAUUUAAAUCUGUUUUUUCUGGCUGUCAGUGACAUGGGGGGUAUUUAACCACCUCGACCUGCAGACAUCGUCUUACAGUAGUAGAGCCUCCUCGACCUACAGUACUAAAGCCUCGGGAAGCAAAGGUGAACAACAUGAAGACAUUUGCGCUGGUUUUCGUUUUCCUGAUCUUGGCUGCAGUUUGCACAGAUAGGUUCACAGAACAAACACAGCAAUAUACUGUACGUCUAUCAUUUUGGGCCUCAUGAAGAAUGCAAAUUCAGUUGAGAUGUAUAUAAUAACAUAGAUAUAACAUACAACAUGUCAUGUAUUCAGACCCGGUUCUACGAGGGUGCAUAAGCAUGCAUUGCACCCCCAAAAAAACUGUUUGCAC